rnacentral:rRNA from 1 species
GACGAACGCUGGCGGCGUGCCUAACACAUGCAAGUCGAACGGGGAGUUAGCAAUAACUCCUAGUGGCGAACGGGUGAGUAACGCGUAGACAACCUGCCUCUAAACUGGGGACAACACCGCGAAAGUGGUGCUAAUACCGAAUGUGGUAUCUUGAUCGCAUGAUUGAGAUAAGAAAGAUGGCCUCUACAUGUAAGCUAUCGAUUAGAGAUGGGUCUGCGUCUGAUUAGCUAGUUGGUGAGGUAACGGCUCACCAAGGCAACGAUCAGUAGCCGGUCUGAGAGGAUGAACGGCCACACUGGGACUGAGACACGGCCCAGACUCCUACGGGAGGUAGCAGUGGGGAAUCUUCCGCAAUGGACGAAAGUCUGACGGAGCAACGCCGCGUGAGUGAAGAAGGUCUUCGGAUUGUAAAGCUCUGUCGUUUGGGACGAACGUAUCCUGUGUGAAUAAUGCGGGAUAAUGACGGUACCAAAGGAGGAAGCCACGGCUAACUACGUGCCAGCCGCCGCAGUAAGAC